rnacentral:tRNA from 1 species
UCCCUAGUAGCUCAACUGAUAAAGAAUCUGCCUGCAAUGCAGGAGGACCCUGGUUUGAUUCCUGGGUUGGGAA